GGACCAAGGAGUCUAGCAUGUGCGCGAGUCAUUGGGACUCUAACGAAACCUAAAGGCGCAAUGAAAGUGAAGGUCCGCCUAGCGCGGACCGAGGGAGGAUGGGCGUCCUCGAGGGGACACCCCGCACUCCCAGGGCGUCUCGUUCUCAUUGCGAGAAGAGGCGCACCAAGAGCGUACACGCUGGGACCCGAAAGAUGGUGAACUAUGCCUGGUCAGGACGAAGUCAGGGGAAACCCUGAUGGAGGUCCGUAGCGAUUCUGACGUGCAAAUCGAUCGUCGGAACUGGGUAUAGGGGCGAAAGACUAAUCGAACCAUCUAGUAGCUGGUUCCCUCCGAAGUUUCCCUCAGGAUAGCUGGCGCUCGCUUCUCGCGAGUCUCAUUCGGUAAAGCGAAUGAUUAGAGGCAUUGGGGUCGAAACGGCCUCAACCUAUUCUCAAACUUUAAAUGGGUGAGAUCUCCGGCUUGCUUGAACUGUGAAGCCGCGAGAUAUCGGAUCAGAGUGCCAAGUGGGCCACUUUUGGUAAGCAGAACUGGCGCUGUGGGAUGAACCAAACGCUGAGUUAAAGCGCCUAAAUCGACGCUUAUGGGAUACCAUGAAAGGCGUUGGUAACUUAAGACAGCAGGACGGUGGCCAUGGAAGUCGGA
rnacentral:rRNA from 1 species